rnacentral:rRNA from 1 species
GACGGAGGAUGCAAGCGUUAUCCGGAAUGAUUGGGCGUAAAGCGUCCGCAGGUGGCAGUUCAAGUCUGCUGUCAAAGACCGGGGCUUAACUUCGGAAAGGCAGUGGAAACUGAACAGCUAGAGUAUGGUAGGGGCAGAGGGAAUUCCUGGUGUAGCGGUGAAAUGCGCAGAUAUCAGGAGGAACACCGGUGGCGAAGGCGGAUCUCUGGGCCUUACCUGACGCUCAGGCGCGAAAGCUAGGGGAGCGAACAGG